GACGAACGCUGGCGGCGUGCUUAACACAUGCAAGUCGAACGGUGAAGCGAGUGCUUGCACUCGUGGAUCAGUGGCGAACGGGUGAGUAGCACGUGAGUAACCUGCCCAUCACUCUGGGAUAAGCACUGGAAACGGUGUCUAAUACUGGAUACGACCAACCCUUGCAUGGGGUGUUGGUGGAAAGAUUUAUCGGUGAUGGAUGGACUCGCGGCCUAUCAGCUUGUUGGCGGGGUAAUGGCCCACCAAGGCGACGACGGGUAGCCGGCCUGAGAGGGUGACCGGCCACACUGGGACUGAGACACGGCCCAGACUCCUACGGGAGGCAGCAGUGGGGAAUAUUGCACAAUGGGCGAAAGCCUGAUGCAGCGACGCCGCGUGAGGGAUGACGGCCUUCGGGUUGUAAACCUCUUUCAGCAGGGAAGAAGCGAAAGUGACGGUACCUGCAGAAGAAGCACCGGCUAACUACGUG
rnacentral:rRNA from 1 species